UACGUAGGGGGCAAGCGUUAUCCGGAUUUACUGGGUGUAAAGGGAGCGUAGACGGCAUGGCAAGCCAGAUGUGAAAUACCGGGGCUCAACCCCGGGACUGCAUUUGGAACUGUUAAGCUGGAGUGUCGGAGAGGCAGGCGGAAUUCCUAGUGUAGCGGUGAAAUGCGUAGAUAUUAGGAGGAACACCAGUGGCGAAGGCGGCCUGCUGGACGAUAACUGACGUUGAGGCUCGAAAGCGCGGGGAGCAAACAGG
rnacentral:rRNA from 1 species